rnacentral:rRNA from 1 species
GAUGAACGCUGGCGGCAUGCCUAACACAUGCAAGUCGAUCGGUAAGGCUCUUCGGAGUACACGAGAGGCGGACGGCUGAGUAACGCGUAGGAACACACCCUGCAGUGAGGGAUAAGACACCGAAAGGUGUUCUAAUACCGCAUACGGUCUUCGGAUUAAAGCAUUUAUGCGCUGAAGGAGUGGCCUGCGUCAUAUUAGAUAGUUGGUGAGGUAAUGGCUCACCAAGUCGAUGAUGUGUAGCUGGUCUUAGAGGAUGAUCAGCCAGACUGGAACUGAGACACGGUCCAGACUCCUACGGGAGGCAGCAGUGAGGAAUAUUUCACAAUGAGCGAAAGCUUGAUGGAGCAAUGCCGCGUGCAGGAUGAAGGCCCUCGGGUUGUAAACUGCUUUUAUAAGAGAAGAUUAUGACGGUAACUUAUGAAUAAGGGACGGCUAACUACGUG